rnacentral:rRNA from 1 species
CAGUCGCCGCGGUAAUACGGAGGGAGCUAGCGUUGUUCGGAAUUACUGGGCGUAAAGCGCGCGUAGGCGGUUACUCAAGUUAGAGGUGAAAGCCCGGGGCUCAACCCCGGAACUGCCUUUGAAACUAGGUGACUAGAAUCUUGGAGAGGUCAGUGGAAUUCCGAGUGUAGAGGUGAAAUUCGUAGAUAUUCGGAAGAACACCAGUGGCGAAGGCGACUGACUGGACAAGUAUUGACGCUGAGGUGCGAAAGCGUGGGGAGCAAACAGGAUUAGAUACCCCGCGUAGUCCCUGUCUCUUAUA